rnacentral:rRNA from 1 species
AUUGAACGCUGGCGGCAUGCUUUACACAUGCAAGUCGAACGGUAACAGGGAGCUUGCUCCGCUGACGAGUGGCGAACGGGUGAGUAAUGCGUCGGAACGUGCCGAGUAGUGGGGGAUAACGCAGCGAAAGUUGUGCUAAUACCGCAUACGUACUGAGGUAGAAAGUGGGGGACCUUCGGGCCUCACGCUAUUCGAGCGGCCGACGUCUGAUUAGCUAGUAGGUGAGGUAAAGGCUCACCUAGGCGACGAUCAGUAGCGGGUCUGAGAGGAUGGGCCGCCACACUGGGACUGAGACACGGGCCAGACUCCUACGGGAGGCAGCAGUGGGGAAUUUUGGACAAUGGGCGAAAGCCUGAUCCAGCCAUGCCGCGUGUCUGAAGAAGGCCUUCGCGUUGUAAAGGACUUUUGUCGGGGAGGAAAUCCCCAGCGCUAAUACCGCUGGGGGAUGACAGUACCUGAAGAAUAAGCACCGGCUAACUACGUGCCAGCCGCCGCGGUAAGAC